rnacentral:lncRNA from 1 species
GGCCUCUCCCAAACGCUAGUAGGCCACUGCGCAUACAGACGGCGCACCCUCCAGGGAAAAAUCAGGAAAUCAGGGACACAAGACCCCAGAAGUAUGCCAAUAUACUAAACCAUGAAACAGUUCUUGGUGACAUUCUGUGCUUCAGAGAGUGAAGAGGAAUAUGUCUACAUUCAGUCCAUUUCUGCAUGGCUGUAACCCCCACACCAUGUUCACUUAUUUCAUGGACCCAGCUCACCACCUCAUGGGAGAGCAUCAAUAAGUCUAUAUGAUGGUUUAAGUCACCUCCUGAACCUGUGCAGUUAACACUGGGAGAGGACGACUAGAUGCUCAACGUUUUGAAUUCUCCUAUUCUCUGCCCCAUGCAUCUCUUCCUUUGGCUGAUUUUGGUAUAUAUUCUUUUGCUGCAAUAAACUGUAACCAUGAGGACAAU